CUACUUUGAAAGGGGAUGCUUGAGGCUGAGGUAGUUUUGAGGGAAAGGGGGAAGUUCUAGUUUGAUUUGUUUGGGAGAUUGCUGUCCUUUCAUAACUGAAGCAAAUGCUUGAAAUGUAAACCAUGUGUGAUACGAAUGAUCUGAGAGCCAGUGACCAAGUCUGCUUUUCCCUGAGCUCUCCUGCUGCCGCCUCUACCUUUCUGACAUGGCCUUCCAUUUGGAACUUGAUAUGUGUACAAGUGAUCUGUUGGCCACUGUUUCAUUCAUCCUGACCACUGUAUCCGUGUAAUGUGAUCUGAGCUACAACAGGUGGUAUGGGAUAGAGGCAAGGAAAGCAGAGAGAGCCCUCUGAAAUGAACACUACCCACUGGUGUGUGUAGCACAUGAUAGUCUGUAGGCAUGAGUCUGAAUGUUGUUCUCACACUCCUUUACUAGAGUAUUCGUUCCCUCUGAAGGUAGUUUGAACAUGGAAACACAGUUCUAUACCUAGAAGGUUGGAAAGUGUCUGGGACUAUAAGGGUUAACAUGCAUAAUUGCAAAGAUUGUCCGAAGGCUGAUGGAAAGCAGAGACUGAAUGGGAUUGAGAACAGAUGCGAAGCUUGAUUUAAAUUACAUUUUAUUGGAUGCUGCAGCCUUAAGAGACGUGACUGCUUUACAGUUUGUUUCCACACUGUGGGCAGCUGCUGUCUGUUCUGUGUCCACAGUAGGAUCCUGCCCAAUAAGGAGCAGCCUCCCCACCUCAUUGUGUUUGAGGCUUGGCGCCUUCCUCUUAACUGUAGGGCUUGAGUCAGGAACAUGGCUUGACUCGCAGUGGGGCUGCUAUGUAUCCUCCCUGGCUUCCAGCCAAAAUCACAUUGGUAGAUUCAAAGGGGCCAAAUUUCUUUCCCCUCUAUCUUUCCCUUUCCCCUGGUUUUGGAAAUAGAGUUUUCUGUCUACUGAUUUGUUAGUUUCCUUUUCUUCUCCCCUCACUGUCAAUUUCUAGGUCAUUGCUGCUCUUAAGACUUUAGCAGUUGGAACAGGGUUGGUUCUGUCAAUGAUGCAUGAAGCAGACUUAGUGUCCCUGCUUGGCUUCUGCUGCCCUUGUGGGAGCAAAAGCUGAUAUAUGUUUGUCAGUAAAGUCUUAAGUGUAAUUCAGACUGCUGAGGAAGAAAGCCCUUUCCUUGCUGGCUUUUCUCCCUGAAGCUGAGAGCUUCAGGAAGGUGGUAGGAGUUUUAGUGGGAUGGGAUGGGAUGGGCUUGUGGUUAGCAGUUUUUGCCAGGAUCAUAGGCUGCUUCACUUAGAGUAGUGGCAAAGAUGCUGACCUACAUUCUUCCUUUUGAAGGUGAUGGAGUGUGUGUCUAUAUCCUGGUUUAUCUCUCUCCCCCACCCCAAGGAAGCUGAUUAAGCUUCCAUAGAGUGUUGGGUGUUGCCAUGGAAAGAGCAUAGACAAAAUAAAUUGUGUGUUUCAACCCCA
rnacentral:lncRNA from 10 species